rnacentral:tRNA from 1 species
UUGAUAAGGGUGGGAUUCACACCCACCUAGACAGAGCUACAAUCUGCCGCCUACCUCGGCCACCU